UCUUGGCAGCAGAAACUUUUGGCCAGAUAAGUCGAAUUGAGCACCCGACAAUUUGCGUCCUGUUACGGCGGUGUAUAUGUAACGAACUGCUUUCGAGUCUGAGUCCAGUGAUCCCAGACAUCGAAGUAUUGCGUGUUUACCUCAUUCUUCCGCUGUACCACGAGUUUCUGCAACCCAAAUUCUUCGAGGAGUUACAUUUUCCGUUUGCCUGCGGUCUACUUGGCCUGAAACCUGAAGCCGGGAAAGUUUAUGAUAUGUGGUUGGCGGCAGCAAACACCGAUUAUUUUUAUUCGACUCAUCAACAUUUUUAAGCAAGUCGUCGUUCACAUCAUUCAUUUACCAUCCAGUUUUGAUCCG